GUUCCCCUACACCCCUCUUAACUUUUCAGGAUUAAGCAAGAGCAUAUAUAUAUACAUAUAUAUAUAUAUAUAUAUAUAUAUAUAUAUAUAUAUAUGCUCUUGCUUAAUCCUGAAAAGUUAAGAGGGGUGUAGGGGAAC